AUGACGACCCGUGAAGACCUUGGAUUCGUCAAGUUCCCCUCCGUCGCCGUGUACCACUACUUCCUCUUCACUGCACCGUACUUGGUCCGCCCUGAAGGCACGCUACGAAGGUAUUACCGCCGAGACGACCGCCCGUGGAUGAAUGGAUGUUAUGUAUGCGAUGCUUGUGUCCGAAUUGUUCGUUGCAUGUUGUUCCUAUUUUGCCAUGUCACCGACAUGGGACACCCGGUUGCAUGUUGUUCCUAUUUUGCCAUGCCACCGACAUGGGACACCCGGUUGCAUGUUGUUCCUAUUUUGCCAUGCCACCGACAUGGGACACCCGGUUGCAUGUUGUUCCUAUUUUGCCAUGCCACCGACAUGGGACACCCGGUAACCGGGAUCACCCCCACCGUCCUUACAUGA
rnacentral:rRNA from 1 species